CGAACGGAGUUAGAUGAAAGCUUGCUUUGACUAAACGUAGUGGCGGACGGGUGAGUAACGCGUGGGUAACCUGCCUUAUACAGGGGGAUAACAGUCGGAAACGACUGCUAAUACCGCAUAAGCGCACGGAAUCGCAUGAUUCAGUGUGAAAAGAUUUAUCGGUAUAAGAUGGACCCGCGUCUGAUUAGCUAGUUGGUGAGGUAACGGCCCACCAAGGCGACGAUCAGUAGCCGGCCUGAGAGGGUGAACGGCCACAUUGGGACUGAGACACGGCCCAAACUCCUACGGGAGGCAGCAGUGGGGAAUAUUGCACAAUGGGGGAAACCCUGAUGCAGCGACGCCGCGUGAGUGAAGAAGUAUUUCGGUAUGUAAAGCUCUAUCAGCAGGGAAGAAAAUGACGGUACCUGACUAAGAAGCCCCGGCUAACUACGUGCCAGCCGCGGC
rnacentral:rRNA from 1 species